AAGAAAAGAAAAGGUAGCUCCACCGGCCAGAGAAUGAAGAGGGGGCUGUCAGCCAGCAGGCCCCCUAGGCACGUGUGGAAUUAGAUUCCUGUCCCUCAGAGGGUCGUCUGGGGGUGCUUUGUGCUGCAGUGGGUUAAGGUUGGGUGAUGUUGCUGCAGUGGCUGGGUAGCUAAUGUGGCACAGGUGUCGUGGAUUCAGUCUCUGGCUUGGGAACUUCCACAUGCCUCAGGUGUGGCCGAGAAAAAAAGGUGGGGGAGGUGGGGGUAGCACAUGAGCCUCUGGCACUUAAAGCCUGGGCUCUCUUCACUGAGCCCUGAUUGGGUGAGUUCGCGAGGGAGCCCUAUUUCCCAGACUGCUUUAGCCCAGUGGUCUCCUGGACGCGAGCCCCGUUGGUUUUAAAAGCUUGACACCUUUUGUAGGACUGUGUCUCAGCCUGGCAUGGAGGAGGAACAGCUUGGAAUUGGAGCGGGCAGCCCGAGCAGAUGGACAGCAGCUGAGUCAAUCUGGAAGCAAUCACGAUCCAUGUGAAAGAAGAAUUUUCAAACAUUCUUAAAAAGCAAAUAAUCCAAGUGGAAGAAGAACUAAACUGCUUACAUGUUAUCACAGAAACCAAACUUGUGGAUUGAAUAUGUUGUCCCCAUUUGCCUGUUAUAGGAUAUUUUUGGCUACAGAGAGCCUAAUACCCUUGGGUCGGGGUCUGUACUGCCAACUUGCUGUAGGACAAAAAAUCCAUACUUCAAGAAGGGAGAAAACUUGGGUUCCCAUUCCUGUAAGCCGUCAAGGGAUCUUGGGAAUAUCCUUCCAUUUUUCUGAACUUCAUUUUUCUCAUCUGUGCAACAAAUGCAGGCUUUCUAAAAUCCCCUGGCGUCUCCUAACUCUUUUCUUUGGAAAAGUUAAGAAAUGAAAGAUAGAAAAAGUGCUGCCUGCUUUAGGGAAAGAGCUAUGUGUCUGCAGUGGAAAGCCGGUGGAGGUGGAAGGUCCCGAAGUGGGGGUGGGUCUCCUCCUUCUUCCCUGGUGGUCGUUUCCUUCUCAUUUUCUCAUACUUCUCAAGACUUCGGAGAACCGGAGAGAACCUUGGUGAAUGGCAGAGUGAUCCAUCUAUCAAAAAGACUGCUGUUCCAGGAUUUCCCAAACAUUCAUUAAGCUAGCUGCUUCUUAAUCGGUGCACAGUAAUAAUUACUUCCAGAAUUAGAAGAGAAUUAAGGAAGAUCAUUAUUAACAUUUGUGUCCUGUUGCUUGAUAUGCGCCAUCAUACGUUAGGAAAUCUAUCUUUGCAAUUUCCAGUCCUCAGGAAGCCUCAGAAAGCCUUGCCAGGUAUUAUUUCAGCUAAAGCACAGUGGUGAAGAAAAUGCCAACUCUAGCACUGGGGAAAAGCUUUGCAGAUGAAAACACUGGCAUUUGGGACCACUUAUGCUGCUUUCCAAUUCUGAAUGGUUGCUGCUGUUCCAUGUUUAUUUAGCAGAGUUCUCUGGAGACCUGUUUGAAAGGGCACAUGUUUCUUGGAUAGAGAAGACAAGCCACGCUCCUCUCCAGAGCAAAGAGAGGGGCAAAGAAGAGGUCAUCCGUGGCCUUAAUUUCCUGCUGCAUGUGACUUCUCUGCUGGGAGUUUCUUAAUGAAGAACCCACAGCGGGGGUGGGGGAUAGGCUUUGUUCUCAAAAUAAGUGCUGGUUGUGUGCCCCUAGGCAAGGUACUUGACCUCUCUGGGCUUCAUCUGUCAAGAGGGCUCUUCCAUCAAUCAUUCCUUUUAAAAAUUUCCUCUUCGUUAUUAGAGUGAAAGACAAUUCACCCAUAUUGUUUUCCUAAAUCUAAAUGAAUCCUGUUUGUCAAGAUUGACAAGAAACCCAGCAUCCGUUAUCCCUGGGGUGGGGUGCUGGGAUGGACGGCAUUCAGCAGUCCUGCUGGGUUCAUGCCAUCCUGAAGUGUGGGGAAGGGCCUCCAUUCCUCCGUCCGUUCCAGUCUCAGUGCCCCUGAGAUUUUCAUUGUUCACAGGAUCCAUUCCACAGUGGGCAGCUCCUCUGCUCCAGUGUCCCUGCCCUCCCAGCUCCUGGAACCUUCAACACGGCUCCCAACCCCACAGAGCAUGGGCUCAGGAUCCAGUGGUCAUGAUUUAUUUCCACGCUACCUUUUCUCAGGUGCGAUUGCAGAUUCUUGUCAUUCUUCAUCCCCUUUCCCCUUCAAAGCUCUGAAAAGCCAGCCUCUCUCCUCAGGUCCCACUAUUUCUCCCUCCUCCACCCUUGAAGACAUGGCACCUUGCAUGGAGCCAGCCCUACAUUUCAGAAAGCCCAGGCCAGGGACCACAGUGCCCUGGGACACAGUGACAAACACAGCCACCCCUCGGCUUUGGGGAAGGCGAGAUGAACUGGCAAGGACUGUGGUGAGCGAUGGCGUGCUACCACUCGGAAGGAGAAGUUACCACUCAGUUCCAGGUGAUUCAUACCACGUGGGAGUAAAAGUUCAGAGCUGUAUGUUUUCUGAUAUUUCAGGAAAAACAGGGAUGUGGGCUUUUUUCAGGUGCAAUUUCCUGUCUUUAACAUUUGGGAGCAACUAUAAAAAUAAAAACAUCAUAUGAAGGCCAGAUAUAUCACAUCUGCAAUAACCAGUUUGUGACUGAGUUAAUUUGCCAGGGCUGCCAUAACGAAGAACCACAAAUUGGGUGGCUUAAAUGAUAGACAUUUACUGCCUCACAGUUCUUGAGGCCACAAGUCGGAAAUCAAGAUGCUGGUGGCGUUGAAGUUUCUGUGGGCUGUGAUCUCAGAAGAGUUCCUCCCAGUCCUCUCUCCUGGGCUCCUAGGUCGUCAUCUUCAUAGUCACAUAGCAUUCUCCCUGUAUCUUUGCAUCAUCUACCCUUCCUGCAUGUCUGAGUCCAAAUUCCCCGCUGCCCCCUUUUUUUGUAAGGACACUAGUCAUUUUGGGUUAGAGCCUACCCUCAUAACCUCAUCUUAACCUUACUAAUUAUAUCUGUAACUUCUGGAUAAAGUUACAUUCUGAGCUAGUGGGUAUUAGAAUUUCAAUAUAUGGAUUCGGGGGGAUUAUAAUUCAACACUUAACAGUGGCCUCAACCCAGACUUAAAAAUAAAAAAGUUACUUCUCCUCUUUGUGAAGAGAAGACUCAAUCUCCACUGCACAGAAGAUUAGUUACUAGGUAGGGGGAGGUGGAGAAUGGGGAAUGGAUGAAGACGAAGGCAAACAUCACUCAUUCUUUGGAGACAAGAUGACAUAAGAAGACACCAUCCAUUCCUCAGCCAGUUUAUCUGCUCAUCAUGGCAUCCAGCACUAGUUGUAGUGAGUAGAUUCUCAAUAUUUGUUGAGUUAGAAUGAGUUAAAUUUGAUCAGAAUUGAACAGAGAAAAAAGGGAGAGGCGGGGUAUACUAGAGGGGAAUAGAGGUAUUUAGAGAUGCUCUUGGUAAGAGCUAAAGGAAGUCCAUUCUUUCUAGCAGGAUAGGAGCUCAGCUGCUCUGAAGUAGGCAUCAGAUAGAUCUGGUAUGGGUCAGGCAUUUUCCUGGCUUAGAGUGAAAAGUAGAGUAAGUUCUAACCCUGAAUAUGAUUUGAGUCUAUGGGAGGUUAUGAGACUUACUUUAUCAACAUUGACCAAAAAAAUGAAUCGUAUAAUCUGUAACAAAUCUUUAGGGCUAUAAUCUAUAUGCUCAUAUUAUUCUCUUCUGGGUUUCCUAUAUUCGCUUAGUGAAAGAUGUCGGCCAAGUAGGUAAUUGCUUAUCUGAUGAAGAAUGCUUGGAAUUUGGAGACAAAUUCAGACUCACACCUCAUCCUCUCCUCUUAUUUGCUAGUGCCCUGGCCAAGAUGGGAAGCUUCUGAGUCCAAAAUUCCUCAUUUGUAAAGGAUUAGAUUGCAUAAAUGUUAAAUUCCCUUUGAUUGAAUUCUGGUAUACUUGUUGAUAUCCAAUCUUCCUUCACUUUUUGAAUUGAUUUUUUCCAUUGAAUUUAUUUUGUCUUAUGAAGUAUGUUAGCCAGGCCCUACCCUAAACUGGCUUAUGUACAAGAGAAGACAAAAGCGUCUUAUUUGCUGAUGCAGCUGCGAAGCCAAGCAUGGUGGCUCCUAGAAGCUAAGAUAGCAUCAUCAGAAGUCUGUCUCUCUCUUCGCAUCUCCCAGCUCCAUUAUACUCUGCUUGGAUUUAUUCUCUGAAGACUCUCUUUGUAGUGAGGAGAAGAUUAUCAAUAAAUAGCUCCAUGCUCACAACAGUUUUACAGCUUUGAAUUCAGAACAAGAGAUAAAAAUCUCUCUUUAUGUCUCUAGUAUAAAGAAAAGUCCAGAGGACUUUGAUUGAUGGUGUGUGAAUCACAUACCCUUUCCUGAAUUCAUCACUGUGGGCCAAAGGUGGCAGUACCCUGACGGGCUCAGCCAGAGAUACAUGCCAGGCACAGGAGAAAGUGGGCUAGUUCUCUACUCCUAAAUACAUGGAAUUGGUAAGAAUGGGCUGCCCCAAAGAAAGGCAUGCUGGGCAGAGGGGAAUAUAACCCCAGCAGCGUUCAAAGAUCCCUGGCUUUAGUCAGGUUAUUUAUUCGGUCUCCUAAAAAUUUUCCACCACUGAUUAUUUCAGCCUUGUUAAUACUAAAUCUGACCAUGAACAUUGAUGUUUUGUCUAGACAUAAAUAGCAAACUGAAAAAAUUACAAGUCCAUAAGGAUUAGUAAUAAAUAAAUAUGUGCAUGACAUACACAUCUGCCUAAUUCAUUGUCUGCAGAAUUAUAUCCAAACACUCCAAUGUGGCAUUCACGGCUCUUCCUAAGAUGUUAUAAAAUAGUAUCCUGUAUAGUUUGGGUUCAGGGAUGGUAUUGACUUGGGAUUUUUAUAAGCUUUGCCCAGAAAGGAAUAAGUAAAUGAAUGAAGUUAAGAGAAUUCUGAUAUGCAUGGGUGUCUCCAGCAUAAAAUUGUGGUGAGUGUAGAGAAACUAUUAGAAAUCUAUCUGGGGAGUUCCAUCAUGGCUCAGCAGUAAUGGACCCAACUAGUAUCCAUGAGGAUAUGGGUUCGAUCCCUGGCCUCGCUCAGUGGGUUAAGGAUUCGGCAUUGCUGUGAGCUGUGGUGUAG